UACGGAGGGUGCGAGCGUUGUCCGGAAUCACUGGGCGUAAAGGGCGCGUAGGCGGCCUGAUAAGUAGGGGGUGAAAUCCUGCGGCUUAACCGCAGGGCUGCCUUCUAAACUGUCAGGCUGGAGCACAGUAGAGGCAGGUGGAAUUCCCGGUGUAGCGGUGGAAUGCGUAGAGAUCGGGAAGAACAUCAGUGGCGAAGGCGGCCUGCUGGGCUGUUGCUGACGCUGAGGAGCGAAAGCCAGGGGAGCAAACGGG
rnacentral:rRNA from 1 species